rnacentral:rRNA from 1 species
UGUACCUACGGGACGCAGCAGCCGCGGUAAUACGUAGGGGGCAAGCGUUAUCCGGAUUUACUGGGUGUAAAGGGAGCGUAGACGGCAGCGCAAGUCUGGAGCGAAAUGCCGGGGCCCAACCCCGGAACUGCUUUGGAAACUGUGCAGCUCGAGUGCAGGAGAGGUAAGCGGAAUUCCUAGUGUAGCGGUGAAAUGCGUAGAUAUUAGGAGGAACACCAGUGGCGAAGGCGGCUUACUGGACUGUAACUGACGUUGAGGCUCGAAAGCGUGGGGAGCAAACAGGAUUAGAAACCCUAGGAGUCCCA